GAUGAAGAACGCAGCGAAAUGCGAUACGUAAUGUGAAUUGCAGAAUUCAGUGAAUCAUCGAAUCUUUGAACGCACAUUGCGCCCCUUGGUAUCCCGAGGGGCAUGCCUGUUCGAGCGUCAUUUCACCACUCAAGCCUGGCUUGGUGUUGGGCGACGUCCCCUUUGGGGACGCGCCUCGAAACGCUCGGCGGCGUGGCACCGGCUUUAAGCGUAGCAGAAUCUUUCGCUUUGGAAGUCGGGGCCCCGUCUGCCGGAAGACCUACUCGCAAGGUUGACCUCGGAUCAGGCAGGGAUACCCGCUGAACUUAAGCAUAUCAAUAAGCGGAGGA
rnacentral:misc_RNA from 1 species